UACGUAGGGUGCAAGUGUUGUCCGGAAUUAUUGGGCGUAAAGAGCUCGUAGGCGGUCUGUCGCGUCUGCUGUGAAAAUCCAGGGCUCAACCCUGGACCUGCAGUGGGUACGGGCAGACUAGAGUGCGGUAGGGGAGACUGGAAUUCCUGGUGUAGCGGUGAAAUGCGCAGAUAUCAGGAGGAACACCGGUGGCGAAGGCGGGACUCUGGGCCGAUACUGACGCUGAGGAGCGAAAGCGUGGGGAGCAAACAGG
rnacentral:rRNA from 1 species